AGAGUUUGAUCCUGGCUCAGGACGAACGCUGGCGGCGUGCCUAACACAUGCAAGUCGAACGGAGUGUUGCGCUGAAAUUGAGAUUAGCUUGCUAAAGGAAAUUUCUUGUAACACUUAGUGGCGGACGGGUGAGUAACGCGUGAGGAACCUGCCUUACAGAGGGGGACAACAGUUGGAAACGACUGCUAAUACCGCAUGAUGUGGAGGGGAGACAUCUCCCUUUCACCAAAGGAGCAAUCCGCUGUAAGAUGGCCUCGCGUCUGAUUAGAUAGUUGGUGGGGUAACGGCCUACCAAGUCGACGAUCAGUAGCCGGACUGAGAGGUUGAUCGGCCACAUUGGGACUGAGACACGGCCCAGACUCCUACGGGAGGCAGCAGUGGGGGAUAUUGCACAAUGGAGGAAACUCUGAUGCAGCAACGCCGCGUGAGGGAAGAAGGUUUUCGGAUUGUAAACCUCUGUUUUUAGUGAAGAAACAAAUGACGGUAGCUAAAGAGGAAGCCACGGCUAACUACGUGCCAGCAGCCGCGGUAAUACGUAGGUGGCAAGCGUUGUCCGGAAUUACUGGGUGUAAAGGGUGCGCAGGCGGGAUUGCAAGUUGGAUGUGAAAUACUGGGGCUUAACCCCGGAGCUGCAUCCAAAACUGUAGUUCUUGAGUGGAGUAGAGGUAAGCGGAAUUCCGAGUGUAGCGGUGAAAUGCGUAGAUAUUCGGAGGAACACCAGUGGCGAAGGCGGCUUACUGGGCUCUAACUGACGCUGAGGCACGAAAGCAUGGGUAGCAAACAGGAUUAGAUACCCUGGUAGUCCAUGCUGUAAACGAUGAAUGCUAGGUGUGGGGGGACUGACCCCUUCCGUGCCGGAGUAAACACAAUAAGCAUUCCACCUGGGGAGUACGACCGCAAGGUUGAAACUCAAAUGAAUUGACGG
rnacentral:rRNA from 1 species